GAUGAACGCUGGCGGUAGGCCUAACACAUGCAAGUCGAACGGCAGCACAGGAGAGCUUGCUCUCUGGGUGGCGAGUGGCGGACGGGUGAGGAAUACAUCGGAAUCUACUCUGUCGUGGGGGAUAACGUAGGGAAACUUACGCUAGUACCGCAUACGACCUACGGGUGAAAGCAGGGGAUCUUCGGACCUUGCGCGAUUGAAUGGGCCGAUGUCGGAUUAGCUAGUUGGCGGGGUAAAGGCCCACCAAGGCGACGAUCCGUAGCUGGUCUGAGAGGAUGAUCAGCCACACUGGAACUGAGACACGGUCCAGACUCCUACGGGAGGCAGCAGUGGGGAAUAUUGGACAAUGGGCGCAAGCCUGAUCCAGCCAUACCGCGUGGGUGAAGAAGGCCUUCGGGUUGUAAAGCCCUUUUGUUGGGAAAGAAAUCCAGCUGGCUAGUACCCGGUUGGGAUGACGGUACUCAAAGAAUAAGCACCGGCUAACUUCGUGCCAGCAGCCGCCGUAA
rnacentral:rRNA from 1 species